rnacentral:rRNA from 1 species
UACGGGGGGGGGCAAGCGUUGUUCGGAAUUACUGGGCGUAAAGGGCUCGUAGGCGGCCAACUAAGUCGGACGUGAAAUCCCCAGGCUCAACCUGGGAACUGCGUCCGAUACUGGAUGGCUUGAAUCCGGGAGAGGGAUGCGGAAUUCCAGGUGUAGCGGUGAAAUGCGUAGAUAUCUGGAGGAACACCGGUGGCGAAGGCGGCGAUCCU